rnacentral:rRNA from 1 species
GUAAUACAAAACGACUCCCGGCAACGGAUAUCUCGGCUCUCGCAUCGAUGAAGAACGUAGCGAACUGCGAUACUUGGUGUGAAUUGCAGAAUCCCGUGAAUCAUCGAGUCUUUGAACGCAAGUUGCGCCCGAGGCCAUUAGGCCGAGGGCACGUCUGCCUGGGUGUCAAACAUCGUUGCCCCAGCACAAAUUGUGCCAGGGGCGGAUAUUGGCCUCCCGUGAGCAUGACUCGCGGUUGGCCUAAAUGCGAGUCCGUGGUGGUGAGCGCCAAGGCAUACGGUGGUUGAGUUAUUCUCGAAGCCAGCUGUCCUGCGUGUCUCCCCUCCUGAACGACUCUAUCAACCCUAUUGCAUCGCAUAGAUGCUUCCAACGUGACCCCAGGUCAGGCGGGACUACCCGCUGAAUUUAAGCAUAUCAAUAAGCGGAGGAAAAGAAACUAACAAGGAUUCCCCUAGUAACGGCGAGCGAACCGGGAGCAGCCCAGCUUGAGAAUCGGGCGGCCGUGCCGUCCGAAUUGUAGUCUGGAGAGGCGUCCUCAGCGACGGACCGGGCCCAAGUCCCCUGGAAAGGGGCGCCUGGGAGGGUGAGAGCCCCGUCCGGCCCGGACCCUGUCGCACCACGAGGCGCCGUCAACGAGUCGGGUUGUUUGGGAAUGCAGCCCAAAUCGGGCGGUAAACUCCGUCCAAGGCUAAAUACAGGCGAGAGACCGAUAGCGAACAAGUACCGCGAGGGAAAGAUGAAAAGGACUUUGAAAAGAGAGUCAAAGAGUGCUUGAAAUUGCCGGGAGGGAAGCGGAUGGGGGCCGGUGAUGCGUCCCGUUCGGACGCGGAACGGCGACAGCUGGUCCUGCGAGCGACUCGGUGCGCGG